CCUACGGGAGGCAGCAGUGGGGGAUAUUGCACAAUGGGGGAAACCCUGAUGCAGCGACGCCGCGUGAGUGAAGAAGUAUUUCGGUAUGUAAAGCUCUAUUAGCAGGGAAGAAAAUGACAGUACCUGACCAAGAAGCCCCGGCUAACUACGUGCCAGCAGCCGCGGGAAUACGUAGGGGGCAAGCGUUAUCCGGAUUUACUGGGUGUAAAGGGAGCGUAGACGGUUAUGUAAGUCUGGAGUGAAAGGCGGGGGCUCAACCCCCGGACUGCUCUGGAAACUGUACGGCUGGAGUACAGGAGAGGUAAGUGGAAUUCCUAGUGUAGCGGUGAAAUGCGUAGAUAUUAGGAGGAACACCAGUGGCGAAGGCGGCUUACUGGACUGUAACUGACGUUGAGGCUCGAAAGCGUGGGGAGCAAACAGGAUUAGAUACCCUAGUAGUC
rnacentral:rRNA from 1 species